rnacentral:rRNA from 1 species
UACGUAGGGGGCAAGCGUUGUCCGGAAUUAUUGGGCGUAAAGAGCGCGUAGGCGGUCCGAUAAGUCGGCUGUGAAAGUCCAGGGCUCAACCCUGGAAAGCCGGCCGAUACUGUCGGACUAGAGUCCGGAAGAGGCAAGUGGAAUUCCUGGUGUAGCGGUGAAAUGCGUAGAUAUCAGGAGGAACACCGGUGGCGAAGGCGCUCAUCUGGCCCAAUACUGACGCUGGAGGCGCGAAAGCUAGGGGAGCAAAACGGG